rnacentral:rRNA from 1 species
CAAUAGCGUAUAUUAAAGUUGUUGCAGUUAAAAAGCUCGUAGUUGGAUUUCGGGGCAGCCUGGCUGGUCCGCCGCAAGGCGAGUACUGGUCAGCCGCCCUUCCUCUCGAAAGCCCCGACUGCUCUUCGUUGCAGUGGUCGGGUAGUUCGGGACGUUUACUUUGAAAAAAUUAGAGUGUUCAAGGCAGGCCUACGCCUGAAUACAUUAGCAUGGAAUAAUGGAAGAGGACCUCGGUCCUAUUUUGUUGGUUUCCAGGGCCGAAGUAAUGAUUAAGAGGGACAGUUGGGGGCAUUCGUAUUUAAUUGUCAGAGGUGAAAUUCUCGGAUUUAUGAAAGGCGAACAACUGCGAAAGCAUUUGCCAAGGAUGUUUUCAUUAA